rnacentral:rRNA from 1 species
UCCGUAGGGGGCGAGCGUUGUCCGGAUUUAUUGGGCGUAAAGAGCUCGUAGGCGGUUUGGCAAGUCGGGUGUGAAAACUCCGGGCUCAACUCGGAGACGCCACUCGAUACUGCUAUGACUCGAGUCCGGUAGGGGAGUGCGGAAUUCCUGGUGUAGCGGUGAAAUGCGCAGAUAUCAGGAGGAACACCGGUGGCGAAGGCGGCACUCUGGGCCGGUACUGACGCUGAGGAGCGAAAGCGUGGGGAGCGAACAGG